rnacentral:lncRNA from 1 species
GCUGGUUGAUCUGAUAAAGUUACUAAAUAUCGAUAAGUGUAAAUUGGUUCAAAUAUUGUUCUCACCCGAUUUGAAAUCGACUUUUCUAUCAUCCUAAUUUUUUUAAAUAAAAAAAGAAAAACUCUCCAUUCCAGGAUACAUAAAUAUAACUAUAAUAAUCUGAACCUAUUAAGUGGACCAAACCAAAAAUUUUGCCGUUAACACCCAAGGAGAGGGGGGCAUGUUAUGACCCCACUCCCAUCAUGCUGCAACACCCCCCACCUGAGGAGUUAAUGGCA